GACGAACGCUGGCGGCGUGCUUAACACAUGCAAGUCGAACGGAAAGGCCCUGCUUUUGUGGGGUGCUCGAGUGGCGAACGGGUGAGUAACACGUGAGUAACCUGCCCUUGACUUUGGGAUAACUUCAGGAAACUGGGGCUAAUACCGGAUAGGAGCUCCUGCUGCAUGGUGGGGGUUGGAAAGUUUCGGCGGUUGGGGAUGGACUCGCGGCUUAUCAGCUUGUUGGUGGGGUAGUGGCUUACCACGGCUUUGACGGGUAGCCGGCCUGAGAGGGUGACCGGCCACAUUGGGACUGAGAUGCGGCCCAGACUCCUACGGGAGGCAGCAGUGGGGAAUAUUGCACAAUGGGCGGAAGCCUGAUGCAGCAACGCCGCGUGCGGGAUGACGGCCUUCGGGUUGUAAACCGCUUUCGCCUGUGACGAAGCGUGAGUGACGGUAAUGGGUAAAGAAGCACCGGCUAACUACGUG
rnacentral:rRNA from 1 species